GCCUAAUACAUGCAAGUCGAGCGAAGUUUUCUGGUGCUUGCACUAGAAAAACUUAGCGGCGAACGGGUGAGUAACACGUAAAGAACCUGCCUCAUAGACUGGGACAACUAUUGGAAACGAUAGCUAAUACCGGAUAACAGUAUUUCUCGCAUGAGAGAUAUUUAAAAGUUGGUUAUGCUAACACUAUGAGAUGGCUUUGCGGUGCAUUAGCUAGUUGGUGGGGUAAAGGCCCACCAAGGCGACGAUGCAUAGCCGACCUGAGAGGGUGAUCGGCCACACUGGGACUGAGACACGGCCCAGACUCCUACGGGAGGCAGCAGUAGGGAAUCUUCCGCAAUGGGCGAAAGCCUGACGGAGCAACGCCGCGUGAGUGAAGAAGGAUUUCGGUUCGUAAAGCUCUGUUGUUAGGGAAGAAUGGAUAUGUAGUAACUAUACAUAUAAGAGACGGUACCUAACCAGAAAGCCACGGCUAACUACGUGCCAGCAGCCGCGGUAAUACGUAGGUGGCAAGCGUUGUCCGGAAUUAUUGGGCGUAAAGCGCGCGCAGGUGGUUUAAUAAGUCUGAUGUGAAAGCCCACGGCUCAACCGUGGAGGGUCAUUGGAAACUGUUAAACUUGAGUGCAGGAGAGAAAAGUGGAAUUCCUAGUGUAGCGGUGAAAUGCGUAGAGAUUAGGAGGACACCAGUGGCGAAGGCGGCUUUUUGGCCUGUAACUG
rnacentral:rRNA from 1 species